GACGAACGCUGGCGGCAUGCCUUACACAUGCAAGUCGAACGGCAGCACGGGUGCUUGCACCUGGUGGCGAGUGGCGUACGGGUGAGUAAUAUAUCGGAACGUACCUUAUUGUGGGGGAUAACGCAGCGAAAGCUGUGCUAAUACCGCAUAAUCCCUAAGGGGGAAAGCGGGGGACCGUAAGGCCUCGCGCAAUUAGAGCGGCCGAUACCUGAUUAGCUAGUUGGUGAGGUAAAGGCUCACCAAGGCAACGAUCAGUAGCUGGUCUGAGAGGACGAGCAGCCACACUGGGACUGAGACACGGCCCAGACUCCUACGGGAGGCAGCAGUGGGGAAUUUUGGACAAUGGGGGCAACCCUGAUCCGGCAAUGCCGCGUGAGUGAAGAAGGCCUUCGGGUUGUAAAGCUCUUUUGUCAGGGAAGAAACAGCAGCUCUAACACAGUUUGCGAAUGACGGUACCUGAAGAAUAAGCACCGGCUAACUACGUGCCAGCAGCCGCGGUAA
rnacentral:rRNA from 1 species